UAUCAUUGCUUAUAAGAGAAAAUUUAACAACAAUUAGCCCAUUAAUUAAUGGGCUAAUGGGCACAUGUCAAUAAAAUGUAGAGCAUUCCAACUAUGAUAUAUUAGGUGACAAUUGAAAGAACUAAGGAUAAACUAACAGAAAAGAGUUUCAAAUGUAUUAUUACAUAACAUUUUUUUGAAUACUUCUUCAGUAUUACAUCGUUUGUGUAAAAUCAAACAAAACACUGUAUGUUUUUACAUAUACACAAAAGUGUAGAUAAGCCCAUAGAAAAAGAGCUAGUAGAAUCCAUACCAAAUUUUUAACAAUCUUGAUCUCUAGGGGGAAAAAAUGAGAUUGAGAAAAGAUAUGAUUAUGGUGUGGCUAAUUUUAAUGUAUCUAUUUUCAUUUUUAUGUCAUUUAUUAUUCAUGGUAAAACUAAACUUUAAAAAGUCUUAAGAUCACUCAAGU
rnacentral:lncRNA from 1 species